rnacentral:rRNA from 1 species
CAAACCAACAAUGGGGANCCAAUCGGGGAAAGCCUGUCUCAGUUCGGAUUGGAGUCUNCAACUCGACUCCAUGAANCUGGAGUUNCUAGUAACCGUAGGUCAGCACACUNCGGUGAAUACGUUCCCGGGUCUUGUACACACCGCCCGUCACACCACGAAAGUCGGCAACACCUGAAGCCACUGAGCUAACCCCUUUGAGGGAUGCAGGUGUCGAGGGUGAGGUCGGUGAUUGGGGUGAAGUCGUAACAAGGUAUCC